rnacentral:rRNA from 1 species
CCCUACGGGGGGCCGCCGUCGGGCCUCUUGCUCCCUGGGGGCCCCCCUGCCGCCGCAACGCCGCGUGGAGGAUGAAGGUUUUCGGAUUGUAAACUCCUUUUGUUAGAGAAGAUAAUGACGGUAUCUAACGAAUAAGCACCGGCUAACUCCGUGCCAGCAGCCGCGGUAAUACGGAGGGUGCAAGCGUUACUCGGAAUCACUGGGCGUAAAGAGCGCGUAGGCGGGAUAGCAAGUCAGAUGUGAAAUCCUAUGGCUUAACCAUAGAACUGCAUUUGAAACUGUUAUUCUAGAGUAUGGGAGAGGUG